rnacentral:rRNA from 1 species
CCUACGGGAGGCAGCAGUGGGGGAUAUUGCACAAUGGGGGGAACCCUGAUGCAGCGACGCCGCGUGGGUGAAGGAGCGUUUCGGCGCGUAAAGCCCUAUCGGCAGGGAAGAAGGAGGACGGUACCUGACUAAGAAGCCCCGGCUAACUACGUGCCAGCAGCCGCGGUAAUACGUAGGGGGCAAGCGUUAUCCGGAUUUACUGGGUGUAAAGGGGGCGCAGACGGCAGCGCAAGCCAGGAGUGAAACCCCGGGGCCCAACCCCGGGACUGCGCUUGGAACUGGGCGGCUGGAGUGCCGGUGAGGCAGGCGGAAUUCGUAGUGUAGCGGUGAAAUGCGUAGAUAUUAGGAGGAACACCAGUGGCGAAGGCGGCCUGCUGGACGGUGACUGACGCUGAGGCUCGAAAGCGUGGGGAGCAAACAGGAUUAGAUACCCCAGUAGUC